rnacentral:rRNA from 1 species
UAAUACGUAGGAGGCGAGCGUUGUCCGGAUUUACUGGGCGUAAAGGGCUCGCAGGCGGUCCGCUAAGUCUGAUGUGAAAUCUCCCGGCUUAACCGGGAGGGUGCAUUGGAAACUGACGGACUUGAGGGCAUCAGGGGAGAGUGGAAUUCCAGGUGUAGUGGUGAAAUGCGUAGAUAUCUGGAAGAACACCAGUGGCGAAGGCGGCUCUCUGGGGUGCAUCUGACGCUGAGGAGCGAAAGCGUGGGGAGCAAACCGGAUUAGAUACCCGGGUAGUCCACGCCCUAAACGAUGAUAACUAGGUGUUGGGGGUAUCGACCCCCUCAGUGCCGAAGCUAACGCGAUAAGUUAUCCGCCUGGGGACUACGGCCGCAAGGCUA